UCGCAUCAUCAGUUCGAACAACACUCCCCCUAUCCAUAAUAACCUCAGACUGUGACAGCUCAUCAUACGAAUCCACCUCCAUUGCCACUGGCAUAGGAGAAGCUUCACUCACCUUCUUUGCAAACGGAAACUCCAUCUCAUCAAAUACUACAUCUCUAGAAACAAAGAACUCAUGUCUCUCUAAAUCAUAUAGUUUCCACCCCUUUUUUCCAAACGGAU
rnacentral:lncRNA from 1 species